ACCACACCAACCUCCAUCGAACCAGCUCGUCUUCUUCCUCUCCUCCAUUUCCUCUCCUCCCCUGGAGCACCAGCAAGGAUCUCCAUUUCUUCGAUCUCCUUCGGCUCCACGCCAUCCAUGCCACCCUAGGCCAGGGCAGCAGAUCAACCUCCACAAACAAGGUAAUUUAGCCAUAGCAAGAUGUACCAACUAGCAAGCGGUCAUGAAGUUCCAUCCGUUCUGGACAAAUAGAAUCUCAGCGAUGCCUCUCCUAAUGAACUUGGCAGUGAUGUGGACUGUUUUGGUGGAUCAAGUGGCCCUCCCGGCAGUCCUGCGAUUACAUCUAGGCUUUCUCUGUUGAAAUUAGGUUUAGUCAUAGCUAAGUUUUUUGAUUUCAAGAAAAAGCUCGUAAGGGAAAUUGGGUUUGAUGGAUUGCUCCAGAUAAAAUCAUGGCAGAAGAUAAAUCUGAAGUACAGUUCUUAUCUGAUGGAUAGGGUUCAUGUGGAUAGUAGUACAAUCAACUUGGAGGGUUAGGGCAUGCUUACGCUAUCUGACAAAGAAGUACAAUACGUUUUUGGUAUCCCUUGCGGUGAGAAAACAAUAAGUUCAUAAGGCAUUGAACCGUCUGAAGCAUGUAUUGAGUAUUCAAGAUUUGCAACUAUCUUUGGUGACAAAGGUACACACAGCCUCAAGGCAGCAUCGACAUAUCUGAUCCGCGACAUCACCGUUGAAUCUAGGAAGAUAGAAGUUGACUGCUUCAAGAUUGAAUUUGUCAUUUUCGCCAUAGGUCAUGUACUCGCACCUUCAACAAAGCAUGACUACACUACAAUUGAUUUCUGGGCAGCAACUAAUGAUGUAUCUAAAAUCAGAGAUUGGAACUGGUGUGGUUACCUUCUGAAGCAACUUUUUCAAGCUGCCAGGAAGUUUAAGACAGAUGUAACAAGGCGCACCCCCACCAUUCACAUUGUUGGAUGCCACUUCUUCCUGCAGGUUUGUGUAUUAGAUAGCCUUGAUCUGGGUCUGUUGAGCAAAGCAAGGGGAAUGUUCCCGAGAAUGGCACUUUUUGAUUAUGAUUCAAUGAAGAAAAUGAUUGAGCAAGGAAAUGGUAUGCGCCACGGACAAUGAUCUGAACCAAAACAAGUCAAGGGCAUCACCCAACACAACAAGAGUUCAGACUCCAUCUACGCCUAUCCUCAGAGCCGAUUAUGGCAAGUUGGGCGAGAAGCUUGGUAUACUUCUUAGAGAGCACAAUGCGCGUGGGCUGGCUUGCAUAUCAGAGAUGAGGGAAUCUUUCCAAAACUCGACGUUUGGUUUCGCAGAUAAAAUAUUAGGUGUGUAGCCGAAAAUUGUACAUGUUGCAAGGAGAAUGGUCGGAAACAGUGCAUUCUGAAGAGCGAGGAACCGAACAACGCCAACAUUGGCAAUUUGUCACCAGAGAAGAUGAAUGUUUGUCACCCCAAUUGCCAAUAGGAUAGUAGCAAGGUUGUCUGCGCCAGUCGAUAAUGAAGGUACCUCAUCAGCAAAUGGCUCAAUUGCCCAUAAAAGGGCUGCCGCACCCAACUCAAGCAACGAGCAAGACACAUCAAAGAAAAUCUGUGUUCGCCAGGACACGCCUCUUUAGAUGGUUUCUCCAUCGGUCAUUGACACUGUCAACAACUCAUCUUUGUCAGCCAAGCAAGAAGCUCGCAAUGAGGUUGCCAACUUGGUUUACAACUUCUUUGAUGAUCUUACAACUGUCAUUGCUACAUACUACGCUGAGCUCUGCCCAAGGGCUGAUUAUGUCACCUUUGGCACUACAAACGACAUUGUCCCAACAAAAAUGCGAUUGCCAAAGUGUAAUUUAGCACGUGACUCUUGGGAAAUUGGAUCUGUACCACUCCCACCAUCACCAAUAGUUCUGAAAGCUAUCAAGGAUUGGUUAUCUGCUGCAUCGCCCUUACUGCUAGAGAGGAAAUGGAUUGUGCACCCACAUCCAAGGCUAGUAUCAGUUGAUGGAACAGAAAUCCAGCAACAACUAGCAGGAAGCGAACAUCUUGGCCAUGAGAUGGCAUCAGUAAUUUAUAGACGCCUCCAUCAGAUGGAUAUAUUGUUCUCUAAAGAUAGCGCAGGGAUGAUAUGGAGGAAAUUCAUGGAACCUAAGUUUCUCAUAAGUCCAACGUUAACUAGCAUUUUCUACAUCAUUUCCUUGAACUAUUGAUUACUAAAUUCUCCAUCACAUGCCUUAACCAAAAAAUGCCAUUGUUUUAUAGACAACAGUGUUGUCGAACGUUGACCCCUUAACAAUAUAAUCUAUCCGCACUAGCUUCACCGGUGCACUUGAUAAUUGGAACCCUGCCUCAACGAGAGUGGUAAGUAUAUAACCCAGUAUUCUUUUUUAACAACUAGCAUCUUACUAAUUUAGCUGUCCAUGAUCUAUUCCCAACAGUGGCACAUACCAGCCAUCUUGCCCGAUGGAUGGGCCGUCUACUCAUUUGAUAUGCUGAAAAGGAGGAUAUUUGUUCUUGAUCCAGCCAUGGGACCAUUUGGCUUUAGCAAUCGCAGGGUAAACAUGCAUACAUAUGUGUCAAACCUUCUGCACUCCGCCCUCUUCAGAUGCCUGCAGUGCCUCUAUGAGUCGUGGCAUUGCAGUUGUGGAGAAUGGACCAGGUCAUUUCUAAUGCUCAUGGCGGAGAAGGUUGAUAAGUAAGUUGAAAUCCACUUCCAACAACGUGUGUCUCAAAUUUUAUAUUAGCAAUCAACAUAUGCCUAAUUACAUUUUUACACGCACGGUACAACAUGGAGGAUUAUGGCAUAUGUGCGACAUUUCUUGCUAGGAAUUUCAAUGGCGAAAAGCUGCAAAUCCCUUUGACCAAGGCCAACCUGGACAUGCACAAGAACCUCACGCUGUACGAGGUCAUGCGUCUAAAAGGCAAUGAGUCUCUAAUCCCACAUGAUGCCAUUGAAGCUAUCAAGGGCUCUUUCAUUGUCAUUUGAAUUAUUUGUAUGCAUAUAUAUUUUCUAUGUAUGGGGAACCCGAAACAAACAAUGAUGCAUCUCAUGUUUUAAAUAGGCAUUUUGUAUCAGACUAUUUUUCUUAAACACAAUGCAAGACCCUUCAAUCAUUCACAUA